rnacentral:rRNA from 1 species
GGGUCAGUAGGUUGGUCGUGCCACCGGUACGUACUGGUCUCACUGAUUCCUCAUUCCUGAAGAACCGUAAUGCCAUUAAUUUGGUGUUGCGGGGAAACAGGACUGUUACUUUGAAAAAAUUAGAGUGUUUAAAGCAAGCUAACGCUUGAAUACAUUAGCAUGGAAUAAUGAAAUAGGACGAUCGAUCCUAUUUUGUUGGUUUCUAGGAUUGACGUA